GAUGAACGCUGGCGGCGUGCCUAAUACAUGCAAGUCGAGCGAACGGACGAGAAGCUUGCUUUUCUGAUGUUAGCGGCGGACGGGUGAGUAACACGUGGAUAACCUACCUAUAAGACUGGGAUAACUUCUGGAAACCGUAGCUAAUACCGGAUAAUAUUUUGAACCGCAUGGUUCAAAAGUGAAAGACGGUCUUGCUGUCCUUUAUAGAUGAAUUGCCGCUGCAUUAGUUAGUUGGUAAGUUACCGGCCUACCAAGCCAACGAUGCAUAGCCGACUUGAGAGGGUGAUCGGCACAACGGGAACUGAGCACCGGUCAAGCCUCCUACGGGAGGAAGCAGUAGGGAAUCUUCCGCAAUGGGGGAAAGCCUGACGGGGAAAGGCCGCGUGGUGGAUGAAGGUCUUCGGUUCGUAAAACUCUGUUAUUAGGAAAGAACAUAUGUGUAAGUAACUGUGCACACCGUGACGGUACCUAAUCAGAAAGCCACGGCUAACUACGUG
rnacentral:rRNA from 1 species